rnacentral:tRNA from 1 species
GACAUAGCUUAGGGGUAGAGCAUCUGCUUUGCAUGCAGAAGCUCACAGGUUAAAUCCCUGGCAUCUGCA